GUUUAGGGGUAAACCUGAGGAACCCGAAAGGUCGAAGGGAGAAAUUCAUUCGCGUUUCGUCGCGGCUGUUUGGCGGGGUCGAGCGACCGAGAGGACGUUCGCGCGUCCUUUUGGCGCCCCCCGUUUGACGGACGCGCGGCGAACGCGUGCACUUUUCUCCUGGUAGGACGUCGCGAUCCGUCGGGCGUCGUCGGUCUACGGACCGCGGCGGAGCCCGUUCGUAAGUAGUAAUGCAUGCGAACGAACCCGCGUGUUCCCGACCGGCACUCGACGGUACACGGUAGAGGUUCAAGGCCGCUCUCGCGAGCGUUCGGCUCGCGGCAAGCGCGCCGUCAGCGUCGGCGAUCGGACCCGGUGCCGAUUCCGAGCUGCGGUGACUGUUGGCCGCGAAGUUCUCGAACAGACCUUCGGACCGAUCCGCGACGCUAUAGCUUUGGGUAAUUUCAGGACCCGUCUUGAAACACGGACCAAGGAGUCUAGCAUGUGCGCGAGUCAUUGGGAAACUCGAAACCUAAAGGCGCAAUGAAAGUGAAGGUCUUCCUCGCGGAGGCCGAGGGAGGAUGGGCGGCGUCACCGUUAAAAGUGCCCGCUCCGCACUCCCGGGGCGUCUCGUUCUCAUCGCGAGAAGAGGCGCACCAAGAGCGUACACGCUGGGACCCGAAAGAUGGUGAACUAUGCCUGGUCAGGACGAAGUCAGGGGAAACCCUGAUGGAGGUCCGUAGCGAUUCUGACGUGCAAAUCGAUCGUCGGAACUGGGUAUAGGGGCGAAAGACUAAUCGAACCAUC
rnacentral:rRNA from 1 species